GACGAACGCUGGCGGCGUGCCUAACACAUGCAAGUCGAGCGAUGAAAUCCCUUCGGGGAUGGAUUAGCGGCGGACGGGUGAGUAACACGUGGGUAACCUGCCUCAAAGUGGGGGAUAGCCUUCCGAAAGGAAGAUUAAUACCGCAUAAUAUUAGAUUUUCGCAUGAAGAGCUAAUUAACGGGGCAAUCCGCUUUGAGAUGGACCCGCGGCGCAUUAGCUAGUUGGUGAGGUAAUAGCUUACCAAGGCGACGAUGCGUAGCCGACCUGAGAGGGUGAUCGGCCACAUUGGAACUGAGACACGGUCCAGACUCCUACGGGAGGCAGCAGUGGGGAAUAUUGCGCAAUGGGGGAAACCCUGAUGCAGCAACGCCGCGUGAGUGAUGAAGGUCUUCGGAUUGUAAAGCUCUGUCUUUUGGGACGAUAAUGACGGUACCAAAGGAGGAAGCCACGGCUAACUACGUGCCAGCAGCCGCAGUAACAC
rnacentral:rRNA from 1 species